GCAAACUUGGUCAUUUAGAGGAAGUAAAAGUCGUAACAAGGUCUCCGUAGGUGAACCUGCGGAGGGAUCAUUAAUGAAUGGACUUUUUUAAGGUCUUCAAACCUUUCAAACCUGUGGAUAUAUGAAAAUGUGUUUCGGCACUUCGGCGUCGUAUUUAUGCUAUCAUAUAUAUUUUGAAGUCUAAAUUAUAAAUAAAAAUUAAAACUUUCAACAAAGGAUCUCUUGGCUCUUGCAUCGAUGAAGAACGCAGC
rnacentral:misc_RNA from 1 species